UAAUACGUAAGGGGCAAGCGUUGUCCGGAAUCACUGGGCGUAAAGGGCGCGUAGGCGGUUCGUUAAGUCGGGAGUGAAAGCGCUGGGCCUAACCCAGCAACGGCUCUCGAGACUGACGAGCUAGAGGGUCCUAGGGGAUUGUGGAAUUCCAGGUGUAGCGGUGAAAUGCGUAGAUAUCUGGGAGAACACCCGUGGCGAAGGCGGCAAUCUGGGGGACACCUGACGCUGAGGCGCGAAAGCUAGGGGAGCGAACGGGAUUAGAUACCCCGGUAGUCCUAGCCCUAAACUAUGAGUACUAGGUGUUGGGUGUCAAAACCCGGUGCCGGCGCUAACGCAUUAAGUACUCCGCCUGGGGACUACGGUCGCAAGACUA
rnacentral:rRNA from 1 species